rnacentral:piRNA from 1 species
UGCUGAGCAAAAUUCCACAAAGGAGAG